UGCAUAUUUACAACUGUGCAAACAUCUCCAUUCAGUUUGGCGAACGUAAAGAUUAGCCUUUUGAUCUAAAUGUGGGAAAACAUUUUGAAAUCAUCAAGAGCAACUAACCGACGGGGAAGUAUGUUUUGAGUGCAAUGACAGUAUUGUCGAGACAAAAUAUUCAAUUACAAAAUAAUAGGGAAGAAAAAAACAUUACUUUCAAUUGGUAACUCUCGACUUGUUCUUUAUAAGACUGCAAAGAUAAACCCAUUGACAUCAGUUGUCACAUUUAAAGACAGCAUAUCAGGUUCUUCCAACUUUAUAAAUUGUAAAACAAAAUGUUUCGAAUAGGUAGUUACUCUAUACACUUUUUGUUUAUAGUGUGCGCUCAGUAUCUUAAUUGCUUUGCUAACCAGGAUGAGCCAGCUUGUUUUUCAAGAUGGGACUACGAGUACAAAACGAUAAGUCAACUUUCACAAAUAGAGAGAAAACAAAGCGCAAUGGAGCAGGAAAUUAAACGGCUUCGUGAAACGGCUGAAAUGCAACAGAAUACUAUUACAACGUUUUUAAAGACAGAAAAGUCAGGAUCAACAUUUACGCGGUGGGGAAGAAAUGUCUGUCCAGAUUCAACAGCUCCGGUGUACAAAGGAUACAUCGCCGGAAAGAAAUACAACGAAGCUGGCAGCGGUAGUGAUACCAUAUGUCUACCUGAUGAACCUACAUGGGCUAACUAUACAGAUGGAAAUCAGGACGCCUUGAGAGGUCGUAUCUAUGGCACAGAGAUUGACAUAAAUGAGCCAAGCAAAAUAUUCCCUUAUAACGUUUGGGAACAGGACGUUCCUUGCGUUGUUUGCUUGUCGGAUAAAAGUUCAGUUUUAAUGUUCCCAGCUAGAGCUAAUUGUUACAAAGGAUGGUCUCUUCAAUACAGUGGGUAUAUUAUGGCUAAUUCCCAUGUACAUGCUGGCCCACAUAACCACAUCUGUGUGGAUUUUCAGCCGGAGUUUGUUCCGAAUGGGGCAAGGAACGACGACCAACACAUCUUAUAUCUGAUAGAAGCACAAUGUGGUUCUCUCCCUUGUCCACCAUAUGUACAGGGACGUGAGCUGUCGUGUGUAGUAUGUUCCAAAAAUGAUGAUUAAACUCAUUUAAGCGUAAUGAAACGUGUUAAGGCCGUAAACAUUCAUGUUUGAUAAAACGCUUUUCAGAAUUUUAGAUUUAAGAUUAAAACGAUUUUGAACCUAAUAUUAAGACGACUCUUCUGUAUUGCAAUUUUUGAAAAUGGUAUUAAAUUGUGUGUCAAAGGGUUAUUUGAGAAAGAACGUUUAACAUAGAACUUACAAAGUAUUGUAAUAAUCGGAUACAAAUAUUUCAUUAUUUUACGUACUUAAAAUACUGCCAAAAAAUAGUGGUUUUCACCAUUUUAUGAUUUUGAUUUGUGUAUUAGAUUGUUCUCCGCAAUUUGGGUUUGUUUGUUUGAAGUAAUGAUACGGAUGUUCAAGCCCCGAAAUGCUCAGUAUGUUGUUUUGAUGUAUAUAUAUAUAUAUAUAUAUAUAUAUAUAUAUAUAUAUAUAUAUAUAUAUAUAUAUAUAUAUAUAUUGUGAACAAUGUGUAUGCGCUUUAACGCUUUAGUUCAUAAACAGUUAUUUGUAAGAAAUUUAGUAGCAUUACCGUGCCCCUGUUCCAUCGCCUUUCUUAAUGCCACUUAAAAUAUCUUGUAAACCCAACAUAUGAAAUAAGAUGAAAAUUAAUUUGGACUUUUUAUACAAAAUCGUUGUUGCCUCGGUAAGAUAUUAAAUCCGUUUUAAAUGAACCGGUUCAACUCUGGCCUAAUUAAUUUUAAUAAGUGGCCGAUGUACCAUUUGAGUUUAACGUGAAUCACAACUGUCGCUAUGAGUAUGUUACUCAGUAUCAUCCAGAACUGUUUAAAUAGAAGGCAGAAGGUAUAUGUUGCAUUCUAUAAUUACAUUACAUGCUUUAACAGGAUCUAAGGUAGUUGACUGUUGUGCAAAUUUAUCCGAGAAUGUAUCGAAAGUAAAGUGCUACACAUCCAGCGGUCAAUGUAUAUUUAUGUACGGCCAUGCGUCCGACAUCUUAAUAACCAUUCACAUUUUUUUCGAGAGCGGCGUAAGGUUGUUUAAAAAAGGAGUAAACAUCACCGAUCAUGUUCAGCGUUUUUAUAAAUGACGUUGAAAAUGAAAUACAACAUUUGAUUUUCUCGUAUUACCCGUUUUAUGAAUUAUCAAUCUUCCGAAUUAUAUGAGCGGAUGACUGCACCCUACUAAGCCAACCGGCAGAGGAAUUGAAAUAUAUCGGAUAAGUAUUGCGAUAUAUGGAAAUUAUUGGUGAAUGUAAAUAAAACCAAAAUUAUGGUUUUAUAAUAGGCGGCACGCAAGGCAGAACUGACUGAUGGACAUGCUAUGGACAAACAGUAGAAGUAGCAGGUUGAAAGCAAAUGAAUAAUAUCCCUCCCGCUUAUUUUUUCAUAGCUGCUAAUGAUAAGCUUAUAUUUUAUCUCAUUGUUUAAAACUGUAUAUGCGUUAUUAAAUACAUGUUACUAUGUGUUUUAUGUGUACAAAUACAUAGUGAUACGCUAUAUAUGCUUGAUUCAAAAUAAAUAGUCUAUUGCUU